rnacentral:rRNA from 1 species
GAAGAGAGAGUUCAAGAGUACGUGAAACCGCAUAGAGUCAAACUGGUGGAUCCGCAGAGUCCGCGCGGGGAAUUCAGCUCGGCAGGCGGGGCCGUGCGCCGGCCGAGAUUCGUCUCGGACCUGGCUGGCGCGCUGCGUACUCGCAGGCAGGGUGCACUUUCCCCGGCUAGCGGAAGGCCACGACCGGUUCGGUGGCGGUCAGGAGCCCGGAGCGGGAGGUAGCCGUGAUCGGUUCACGCCGAUUGCGGAACGUACAGCCCUCCGAGGUGGACUCGCCGCUGGACCGAGGAUGCCGCGGUGGCCUCACGCCGCGGGCCGUCCGGGAGCGUUCGACUUUGGCCACGCUGCUCGCAGCCGGCCGAGACCGCGCUUCUGGUACGGGCUCGCGAACGGGGGCCGCCUAGGGUCAGUGGCGAAUCGGUCGGCAACCCACCAGACCCGUCUUGAAACACGGACCAAGGAGUCUAGCAUGUGCGCGAGUCACGGGGUCUCUCGAAACCCAAGGGCGCAAUGAAAGUGAAGGCCGCCUCCGGCUGGCCCAGGCAAGAUCCCGAGACGUUCGCGUCGAGGGCGCACUGCCGGCCCGUCUCGCUGGCAUCGACCACGAGGCGGAGCAAGAGCGCACACGCUGGGACCCGAAAGAUGGUGAACUAUGCCUGAGUAGGACGAA